rnacentral:rRNA from 1 species
AUUGAACGCUGGCGGCAUGCCUUACACAUGCAAGUCGAACGGUAACAGGUUAAGCUGACGAGUGGCGAACGGGUGAGUAAUACAUCGGAACGUGCCCAGUAGUGUGGGAUAGCCCGGCGAAAGCCGGAUUAAUACCGCAUACGACCUAAGGGUGAAAGGGGGGGCUCGCAAGACCUCUCGCUAUUGGAGCGGCCGAUGUCCGAUUAGCUAGUUGGUGGGGUAAAAGCUCACCAAGGCGACGAUCUGUAGCUGGUCUGAGAGGACGACCAGCCACACUGGGACUGAGACACGGCCCAGACUCCUAAGGGAGGCAGCAGUGGGGAAUUUUGGACAAUGGGCGCAAGCCUGAUCCAGCCAUGCCGCGUGCGGGAAGAAGGCCUUCGGGUUGUAAACCGCUUUUGUCAGGGAAGAAAUCCUUUGGGUUAAUACCUCGGGGGGAUGACGGUACCUGAAGAAUAAGCACCGGCUAACUACGUG